rnacentral:rRNA from 1 species
UGGGGAAUAUUGCACAAUGGGCGCAAGCCUGAUGCAGCAACGCCGCGUGAACGAUGAAGGUCUUCGGAUCGUAAAGUUCUGUUGCAGGGGAAGAUAAUGACGGUACCCUGUGAGGAAGCCCCGGCUAACUACGUGCCAGCAGCCGCGGUAAUACGUAGGGGGCUAGCGUUAUCCGGAUUUACUGGGCGUAAAGGGUUCGCAGGCGGAAAUGCAAGUAAGGUGUAAAAGGCAGUAGCUUAACUACUGUAAGCAUUUGAAACUGCAUAUCUUGAGAAGAGUAGAGGUAAGUGGAAUUUUUAGUGUAGCGGUGAAAUGCGUAGAUAUUAAAAAGAAUACCGGUGGCGAAGGCGACUUACUGGGCUCAUUCUGACGCUGAGGAACGAAAGCGUGGGUAGCAAACAGG